GGUGAACGCUGGCGGCGUGCCUAAUACAUGCAAGUCGAGCGAACAGAUGAGGAGCUUGCUCCUCUGACGUUAGCGGCGGACGGGUGAGUAACACGUGGAUAACCUACCUAUAAGACUGGGAUAACUUCGGGAAACCGGAGCUAAUACCGGAUAAUAUAUUGAACCGCAUGGUUCAAUAGUGAAAGACGGUUUUGCUGUCACUUAUAGAUGGAUCCGCGCCGCAUUAGCUAGUUGGUAAGGUAACGGCUUACCAAGGCAACGAUGCGUAGCCGACCUGAGAGGGUGAUCGGCCACACUGGAACUGAGACACGGUCCAGACUCCUACGGGAGGCAGCAGUAGGGAAUCUUCCGCAAUGGGCGAAAGCCUGACGGAGCAACGCCGCGUGAGUGAUGAAGGUCUUCGGAUCGUAAAACUCUGUUAUUAGGGAAGAACAAAUGUGUAAGUAACUAUGCACUUCUUGACGGUACCUAAUCAGAAAGCCACGGCUAACUACGUG
rnacentral:rRNA from 1 species